rnacentral:rRNA from 1 species
AGGCCGAAAGGCGUAGUCGAUGGGAAACGGGUUAAUAUUCCCGUACUUGGUGUUACUGCGAAGGGGGGACGGAGAAGGCUAUGUUGGCCGGGCGACGGUUGUCCCGGUUUAAGCGUGUAGGUGUGUGUUCCAGGUAAAUCCGGUUCACUUUAACACUGAGGCGUGAUGACGAGGCACUACGGUGCUGAAGCAACAAAUGCCCUGCUUCCAGGAAAAGCCUCUAAGCAUCAGGUAACACGAAAUCGUACCCCAAACCGACACAGGUGGUCAGGUAGAGAAUACCAAGGCGCUUGAGAGAACUCGGGUGAAGGAACUAGGCAAAAUGGUGCCGUAACUUCGGGAGAAGGCACGCUGACACGUAGGUGAAGUGAUUUACUCAUGGAGCUGAAGUCAGUCGAAGAUACCAGCUGGCUGCAACUGUUUAUUAAAAACACAGCACUGUGCAAACACGAAAGUGGACGUAUACGGUGUGACGCCUGCCCGGUGCCGGAAGGUUAAUUGAUGGGGUCAGCGCAAGCGAAGCUCCUGAUCGAAGCCCCGGUAAACGGCGGCCGUAACUAUAACGGUCCUAAGGUAGCGAAAUUCCUUGUCGGGUAAGUUCCGACCUGCACGAAUGGCGUAAUGAUGGCCAGGCUGUCUCCACCCGAGACUCAGUGAAAUUGAACUCGCUGUGAAGAUGCAGUGUACCCGCGGCAAGACGGAAAGACCCCGUGAACCUUUACUAUAGCUUGACACUGAACAUUGAGCCUUGAUGUGUAGGAUAGGUGGGAGGCUUUGAAGUGUGGACGCCAGUCUGCAUGGAGCCGACCUUGAAAUACCACCCUUUAAUGUUUGAUGUUCUAACGUGGACCCGUUACCCGGGUUGCGGACAGUGUCUGGUGGGUAGUUUGACUGGGGCGGUCUCCUCCUAAAGAGUAACGGAGGAGCACGAAGGUUGGCUAAUCCUGGUCGGACAUCAGGAGGUUAGUGCAAUGGCAUAAGCCAGCUUGACUGCGAGCGUGACGGCGCGAGCAGGUGCGAAAGCAGGUCAUAGUGAUCCGGUGGUUCUGAAUGGAAGGGCCAUCGCUCAACGGAUAAAAGGUACUCCGGGGAUAACAGGCUGAUACCGCCCAAGAGUUCAUAUCGACGGCGGUGUUUGGCACCUCGAUGUCGGCUCAUCACAUCCUGGGGCUGAAGUAGGUCCCAAGGGUAUGGCUGUUCGCCAUUUAAAGUGGUACGCGAGCUGGGUUUAGAACGUCGUGAGACAGUUCGGUCCCUAUCUGCCGUGGGCGCUGGAGAACUGAGGGGGGCUGCUCCUAGUACGAGAGGACCGGAGUGGACGCAUCACUGGUGUUCGGGUUGUCAUGCCAAUGGCACUGCCCGGUAGCUAAAUGCGGAAGAGAUAAGUGCUGAAAGCAUCUAAGCACGAAACUUGCCCCGAGAUGAGUUCUCCCUGAGACUUUAGGUCUCCUGAAGGAACGUUGAAGACGACGACGUUGAUAGGCCGGGUGUGUAAGCGCAGCGAUGCGUUGAGCUAACCGGUACUAAUGAACCGUGAGGCUUAACCUUACAACGCCGAAG